rnacentral:rRNA from 1 species
UACGUAGGGUGCGAGCGUUUGUCCGGAAUUAUUGGGCGUAAAGAGCUCGUAGGCGGCUUGUCGCGUCGGAUGUGAAAGCCCCGGGGCUUAACUCCGGGUCUGCAUUCGAUACGGGCAGGCUAGAGUGUGGUAGGGGAGAUCGGAAUUCCUGGUGUAGCGGUGAAAUGCGCAGAUAUCAGGAGGAACACCGGUGGCGAAGGCGGAUCUCUGGGCCAUUACUGACGCUGAGGAGCGAAAGCGUGGGGAGCGAACAGG